AAUUAAACCCUUGAGAAAACCCAAAUCUUCACCCAGGUUAAAAUCACAGCUAUCUGAUGCCGGUAGAGUGUUGCAGCACGACGGAUCAUCACCUUCCGGGAGAGUACAUGUAAAGAAAGUUCCAUUAAAUGCUAAUGAGAAAAGCUUUUCUAAACGGCCUGUUACUUCGAAUACGAAAUCUCGGGUCGAAAAGCUUCUUCCUGCUGCCCUGUCUGAACGUC